rnacentral:rRNA from 1 species
CCUACGGGGGGCAGCAGUGAGGAAUAUUGGUCAAUGGCCGGAAGGCUGAACCAGCCAUGCCGCGUGAAGGUCAGUGCCCUAUGGGCGUUAAACUUCUUUUGUGCGGGAGCAAUAAUGGUCACGUGUGGCCAGACGAGAGUACCGUACGAAUAAGCAUCGGCUAACUCCGUGCCAGCAGCCGCGGUAAUACGGGGGAUGCAAGCGUUAUCCGGAUUUAUUGGGUUUAAAGGGUGCGUAGGCUGUGAGGUAAGUCAGCGGUGAAAUGCCCCCACUCAACGGGGUGAAGUGCCAUUGAUACUGCCUGGCUGGAAUGCGGAUGCGGUGGGAGGAAUGUGUGGUGUAGCGGUGAAAUGCAUAGAUAUCACACAGAACACCGAUUGCGAAGGCAUCUCACGAAUCCGCGAUUGACGCUGAUGCACGAAAGCGUGGGUAUCAAACAGGAUUAGAUACCCUAGUAGUC